UACGUAGGGUGCAAGCGUUGUCCGGAAUUAUUGGGCGUAAAGAGCUCGUAGGCGGUCUGUCACGUCCGAUGUGAAAAUCCAGGGCUUAACCCUGGACCUGCAUUCGAUACGGGCAGACUAGAGUUCGGUAGGGGAGACUGGAAUUCCUGGUGUAGCGGUGAAAUGCGCAGAUAUCAGGAGGAACACCGGUGGCGAAGGCGGGUCUCUGGGCCGAUACUGACGCUGAGGAGCGAAAGCGUGGGGAGCGAACAGG
rnacentral:rRNA from 1 species